CAGCCUUGCGGCCGUACUCCCCAGGCGGAGUGCUUAAUGCGUUAACUUCAGCACUAAAGGGCGGAAACCCUCUAACACUUAGCACUCAUCGUUUACGGCGUGGACUACCAGGGUAUCUAAUCCUGUUCGCUCCCCACGCUUUCGCGCCUCAGUGUCAGUUACAGACCAGAAAGUCGCCUUCGCCACUGGUGUUCCUCCAAAUCUCUACGCAUUUCACCGCUACACAUGGAAUUCCACUUUCCUCUUCUGCACUCAAGUCUCCCAGUUUCCAAUGACCCUCCACGGUUGAGCCGUGGGCUUUCACAUCAGACUUAAGAAACCACCUGCGCGCGCUUUACGCCCAAUAAUUCCGGAUAACGCUUGCCACCUACGUAUUACCGCGGCUGCUGGCACGUAGUUAGCCGUGGCUUUCUGGUUAGGUACCGUCAAGGUGCCAGCUUAUUCAACUAGCACUUGUUCUUCCCUAACAACAGAGUUUUACGACCCGAAAGCCUUCAUCACUCACGCGGCGUUGCUCCGUCAGACUCUCGUCCAUUGCGGAAGAUUCCCUA
rnacentral:rRNA from 1 species